UACUUUGCUCUUCCUUUCUUCAUUCAAUUUUCUUACAAAAAUACUAAGUGUCUGAGUCAUCUGAGCCUGUGUAUUUUUCGUGUCCUGAUAGCUCGGGUACGCUUACCGCCGAGAAGAACAUGUUGUACUCUUGGGGAAUUGCGCAAUUUUGCGGAUAAUUCCUUAGUUCGGUGACAUAGUCACGCAGGUUUUACUUUUUAUUUUCUUGUUUUGCAGGUUGUGAUCCUUCAGUCAUCCGCGAACAACAAUCUAAGGAAUUAUGGCUGGAGACGAUUAUAAUUGUGCAAACAAGUUUGCCUGCUAAAGGAGUCAGGGAUUGCAAUGUCUUUGUGACUGCACUGAAUGGAUAAAUAGGACUUGAAACAGUGCAAUCUAUGUUGUGGAAUUCAUCGGUAAUUCAAACCAUUCUUCUCUUAAACCAUUCACAAGAAUCAGGUUGUGAUCCUUCUGUCAUCCGCGAACAACAACUUUCAAAAACUCAUCAUACUUUUCCAUCUUCUCUUGAAACACAGCUGAUGCUUCCUCCAUGCUUAGUAUUUUUUGACCAGCAUCACCACCGUAAACCUUCAUCGGUCACAAAGAAAGUUAAUUAAUAAGAAAAUAAAUUCAAAACAGAAAAUAAAUUUAAAUGAAAACAAAAAUAAUUAAUGAUCAGCAUACCAUUGGAUUUGUCGCAAAGUUGAUUUGCGUCGGCAGAGGUAAAGUGAGCCUGUGCUAGGGUUUUGGAUGUGUUGAUGUUGAGUUUGUUGUGCCCUAAUUACUGGGUAACGAAAGAAACUAUUUUUCUUAUUUUGUUAGUAUUAAUUUAUUUAUUUAUUAUUAUAACAA